GAUGAACGCUGGCGGCGUGCCUAAUACAUGCAAGUCGAGCGAACAGACGAGGAGCUUGCUCCUCUGACGUUAGCGGCGGACGGGUGAGUAACACGUGGAUAACCUACCUAUAAGACUGGGAUAACUUCGGGAAACCGGAGCUAAUACCGGAUAAUAUAUUGAACCGCAUGGUUCAAUAGUGAAAGACGGUUUUGCUGUCACUUAUAGAUGGUUCCGCGCCGCAUUAGCUAGUUGGUAAGGUAACGGCUUACCAAGGCAACGAUGCGUAGCCGACCUGAGAGGGUGAUCGGCCACACUGGAACUGAGACACGGUACAGACUCCUACGGGAGGCAGCAGUAGGGAAUCUUCCGCAAUGGGCGAAAGCCUGACGGAGCAACGCCGCGUGAGUGAUGAAGGUCUUCGGAUCGUAAAACUCUGUUAUUAGGGAAGAACAAAUGUGUAAGUAACUAUGCACGUCUUGACGGUAACUAAUCAGAAAGCCACGGCUAACUACGUG
rnacentral:rRNA from 1 species